GUUCUCUUCCCUUGGAUUCGUUAUGAUUCUGAUCAUUCCAUCAUGGAUGCAGUUUGUUCUGGAUUUUCAUAUGCAUCCAUUGCUCUGCAUGUUCUGGAGCAUGGAAAGCCACAUGAGCGCACUGCUAUAAUAACAAAAUUGACUGGACAGAUAGUUCAAAUGAGCCAGCAGAAGUUUGCCUCAAAUGUGAUAGAGAAGUGUUUAACUUUUGGAACUCCUGUUGAACGCCAGAUAAUGAAAUGCUUGGUUCCACUGAUGAAAAUUGACUGAUGAAUGAAAUGCUUGCCUCAAAUGAAAUGCUUGGUUCCACUGACACGUUACUUCAAAGGUGAUCAGUUUGCGAACUAUGUUGUACAGAAAGUGCUAGAAACUUGUGAUGACCAGCAACUUGAACUAAUCCUUAAUCGUAUAAAGGUUCAUCUGAAUGCUCUUAAAAAAUACACUUACGGAAAACAUAUAGUUGCACGUGUAGAGAAGCUGGUUGCUGCUGGAGAGCAUCUGAAAAUUAUGCACACGCUUGUUUACCUCUCCUGAUUCAUUACCUCUUGGAAUGGAGCAGAUAUAUAUUAGACGCACUAUCCAAAGAAGCAACAACGUAAGCUUAUUCAAAAGCUACUUCAAUAGAUAACUACGCCGUUAGAUCAUUUUGGACCUUCCGUUCCAAGAAAAGAAUAUCCUCCUCUACUGCCAUCACCGGCCUCAGUUUGUUAGAGCGUUUAAUUUUUGUAAUAUUAAGAUUUUAUUAGUACAAUAUUUACAUAAG